UUAAAGUUAGUUUAUUAAAACGUUGGCUUGUGGUGCUAAAGAUGCUUCUUGGCACUUUGAA
rnacentral:tRNA from 1 species